rnacentral:rRNA from 1 species
AAUAUUGGACAAUGGGGGCAACCCUGAUCCCGCCAUGCCGCGUGCGUGAAGAAGGUCUUCGGGUUGUAAAGCACUGUAAGUUCGGAGGAAGGGCUUUAGGUUAAUUCCCUGCAGUUUUGACGUUACCACCACAAUCAGCACCGCCUAACUCUGUGCCAUCAGCCGCGGUAAUAACGAGGGUGCAAGCGUUAAUCGGAAUUACUGGGCGUAAAGCGCGCGUAGGUGGUUGAGUAAGAUGGGUGUGAAAUCCCCGGGCUUAACCUGGGAACUGCUUUCAUAACUGCUGAGCUAGAGUACGGUAGAGGGUAGUGGAAUUUCCUGUGUGGCGGUGAAAUGCGUAGAUAUAGGAAGGAACACCAGUGGCGAAGGCGACUACCUGGACUGAUACUGACACUGAGGUGCGAAAGCGUGGGGAGCAAA